rnacentral:rRNA from 1 species
ACGAACGCUGGCGGCGUGCUUAACACAUGCAAGUCGAACGGAAAGGCCCUGCUUUUGUGGGGUGCUCGCGUGGCGAACGGGUGAGUAACACGUGAGUAACCUGCCCUUGACUUUGGGAUAACUUCAGGAAACUGGGGCUAAUACCGGAUAGGAGCUCCUGCUGCAUGGUGGGGGUUGGAAAGUUUCGGCGGUUGGGGAUGGACUCGCGGCUUAUCAGCUUGUUGGUGGGGUAGUGGCUUACCAAGGCUUUGACGGGUAGCCGGCCUGAGAGGGUGACCGGCCACAUUGGGACUGAGAUACGGCCCAGACUCCUACGGGAGGCAGCAGUGGGGAAUAUUGAACAAUGGGCGGAAGCCUGAUGCAGCAACGCCGCGUGCGGGAUGACGGCCUUCGGGUUGUAAACCGCUUUCGCCUGUGACGAAGCGUGAGUGACGGUAAUGGGUAAAGAAGCACCGGCUAACUACGUG